rnacentral:rRNA from 1 species
UACAGAGGUCUCAAGCGUUGCUCGGAUUCACUGGGCGUAAAGGGUGCGUAGGCGGUCGGAUAAGUUUGAUGUGAAAUCUCCGGGCUUAACCCGGAAACUGCAUUGAAUACUAUUCGGCUUGAGGUCUGGAGGGGGGACUGGAAUUCUCGGUGUAGCAGUGAAAUGCGUAGAUAUCGAGAGGAACACCAGUGGCGAAGGCGAGUCCCUGGACAGGUCCUGACGCUGAGGCACGAAAGCUAGGGGAGCAAACAGG